GUGGGGAAUAUUGCACAAUGGGCGCAAGCCUGAUGCAGCAACGCCGCGUGAGGGACGACGGCCUUCGGGUUGUAAACCUCUUUUAGCAGGGAAGAAGCGAAAGUGACGGUACCUGCAGAAAAAGCACCGGCUAACUACGUGCCAGCAGCCGCGGUAAUACGUAGGGUGCAAGCGUUGUCCGGAAUUAUUGGGCGUAAAGAGCUCGUAGGCGGUUUGUCGCGUCUGCUGUGAAAAACCGAGGCUCAACCUCGGGCCUGCAGUGGGUACGGGCAGACUAGAGUGCGGUAGGGGAGAUUGGAAUUCCUGGUGUAGCGGUGGAAUGCGCAGAUAUCAGGAGGAACACAGAUGGCGAAGGCAGAUCUCUGGGCCGUAACUGACGCUGAGGAGCGAAAGCGUGGGGAGCGAACAGGAUUAGAAACCCUGGUAGUCC
rnacentral:rRNA from 1 species